UACGUAGGGGGCAAGCGUUGUCCGGAUUUAUUGGGCGUAAAGAGCGUGUAGGCGGCCAGACAGGUCCGUUGUGAAAACUCGAGGCUCAACCUCGAGAUGUCGAUGGAAACCGUCUGGCUAGAGUCCGGAAGAGGAGUGUGGAAUUCCUGGUGUAGCGGUGAAAUGCGCAGAUAUCGGGAAGAACACCCGUGGCGAAGGCGGCUCUCUGGAACGGUACUGACGCUGAGGAGCGAAAGCGUGGGGAGCGAACAGG
rnacentral:rRNA from 1 species